rnacentral:rRNA from 1 species
GACAGAGGGUGCUAGCGAUGUUCGGAAUUACUGGGCGUAAAGGGCGCGUAGGCGGUCAUGUAAGUCAGACGUAAAAGACCUAGGCUUAACCUAGGAUGUGAGUUUGAUACUGCGUGACUAGAGGAUGGGAGAGGAGAGUGGAAUUCCUAGUGUAGAGGUGAAAUUCGGAGAUAUUAGGAAGAACACCAGUGGCGAAGGCGACUCUCUGGCCCAUUACUGACGCUAAGGCGCGAAAGCGUGGGGAGCAAACAGG